CAUCAAUGUUCAGGAUCAAAUCAUUUGUAGCACUUUACAAAACUUGUAACACCUACAAAGCAGACCGUAUCCAUAGUGUCACCAAGAUAUUGUAACACUACAAAGCAUGUCGUAUCGUAGUGUCAGGAUAAGACCUCAACCACUUCAUGCAACCUGGACUCUUCUGCUACCUGCAAGAAAAACAUGGAAAUAAAGUAUGAGCUUUGAAGCCCAGUGAGUGGGAUCAUAAUUCUAUGAGAAUAUUUUAACUUAUAAACAUCGCAACAUGAGACAACCUGGGAGUUAGAAGACCAGAUGAGGAGGAGUUACCCGACACUCUUUACCUAAGGGCUUCUAAAUUUCAAGGACGAAAUUUCAUAAGGGGGAGAGCAUUUCGAGAGAGAGAGUGAAGGAAGAGGGAGAAGAAGUUGCUGCAGGUUGGAGGUUGAAGAAGGAAGGAAAAGCUCAUGCAAGUGCAACCAUGGAAGAAUUUGGGUUCAACCUAUCCAUCUCUGAUUUUUCAGUCGGUUUGAGCUACACAAGAAGAACUAAGAGGUGAGGGCUGACUUUCUUGAAAUUUAAUCUAUUUUCUAACAAAUUUCAUGAAUGAAGUUUGAGCUAAAUCUGAUGUUAAGUUAAUGGUUUUUGAAAAGGAAAACAGAGCACAGAAUUUUUAUGCAAAUCAGAUGGAUCUCUGCUUUUCUCUGUUUUUUCGAACAUUCUGGGGUGUACAGGUUGGAUUAGAAGCUCAAUUGGGUAUGGUUGGAAAGGUUAUUCAAAUUCCUAUAACUUUCAUGAAGAAUUCGUGAGCAAAAAUUACUAGAAGUAAGUUUAAUUUCAGGAGAAAGAUAGAGGGUAGCAGAGAAGCACGAAUCUAUAUUUUCUAUGUUCGAGAGAUUUUUGGACAAAUGCGUUGGGAAUCUCGUUUUUAUUCCUUCAGGUAAGUUGUAGAGGGUUUCAAAAUGAAGAGUUUGAUAUAUAGUACAUUAAUUGUGGUCAAGUAUUGAGGAAGUUAUGAGUGUUAGAAAUUAGGGUAUUGAAUCUGGAAAAUCUGGAAAGAAAAUGUGAAGUGUGAUUUUAUUUCUAGAAUUUAGAAUUCAUGAGCAUGGAAAGACAAGACGAUUUAUAGUUCUGAUGCUCGGUUUCGGUUGUUUGAUAGGCCAAGAGGAAUUAGGCCGAGUCUACAGACUAGGAAACUAGCCAAGACUAUGAGUGACAAAACAAAUUUCAAAAAUGAUUUCUAAAUUGUAAUUUAUGCUUAAAUGGUUUACAUGCUUGAAUAUGAACUUAUGAAUGAUACAUGAUUUACAUGAAUGGUUUCAAGCAUAAGUUUUGAGCUUAGAUUUUCUAAUGAGGUUUAUAUACGAGCACGUGAUUAUUGACUUCCUGAAAAGUAGUUAAAACGAUACCAUUUAAGGUAAAGUAUGUAUUAGUAAGUACUGUUUAAAGAUUUUCAGUUUUUCACGAGCAAGCCAAGUACGCUUGAGUUUUACAAAAGAUAAAGAUAAGUAGACAUGUUUUAAUGUUUUCAUGUGAUUUUCUGAGACUUUUAUUGACUACAUGACUGAGAUAUUGAGCCCGAGGCUAUAUGGUAUCGUGUGCACACAGGUUAUAUUCCGUUAUUGACGUUGAGUGUACUCCGUGACAACGAUACUGUCGUGAGUGCUGGGCAUGCCCCACUACGACAAAGACAAUGGGAGGUCUGGGCGGGCCCCACUACAUCGUAGAGCUAGUAAACGUUGGUUGUCAUGUUAGUUAAAAUGUUUUAUAUACUUGAUAUGCCUUGCUAGAUUUUAAUGACGUACUUGCGGAACAUUUGAGAAAGCUUUUAGCGUUACACGUUUAUGUUUAAUGCUUUGAUUGAACAAAUUUAUACGUUUAAAGGUUUAUCACGUGUUCUAAUUUGCGGAUUUACAAUUUUAAAUUUAGUCACUCACUGGGCUUCGUAGCUCACUCUUUCAAAAUGUUUUCCCACUUUCCAGGUAGAGAUCGAGCUCCUGGUGCAUGAUAACUGCCAAAGUCUGUUUUCUCCUAAAGCUUCCAAAUCAAGCUUCAUUCGAGUCAUGCCACCACGUACCAGCAAACGACGCAGGCAGAAUCAGGACGGGACAUAGGAUCCUACCCAAGGUUAAUCUGAAAGGAGACCCAGUACACCGAGAGUUCAGACUGGAGCAGGAAACGAGCAGUUUUUUAGAUCUGAACAUGAGGUAGGUAGGCCAGAGAGAGCAGGGCCUAGUGAUCCGAAAAAGAUGUAUGGAAUAGAACGGCUGAAGAAAUUAGGAGCCACAGUGCUUGAGGGUUCCACAUAUCCAGCUGACGCUGAGGUUUGGUUAAAUAUGCUUGAGAAUUGCUUCGAUGUGAUGAGCUAUCCUGAGGAGCGAAAAGUCAGAUUGGCCACAUUCCUGCUGCAGAAGAAGGCAGAGGGAUGGUGGAAAUCCAUAUUAGCCAGGCGCAGUGAUGCACGUACGUUAGAUUGAAAGACUUUCAGAGGCAUAUUCGAAGACAAGUAUUAUCCCAACACAUACUGUGAAGCAAAGAGAGAUGAGUU